rnacentral:rRNA from 1 species
UACGUAGGGGGCUAGCGUUGUCCGGAAUCAUUGGGCGUAAAGCGCGUGUAGGCGGUCCGGUAAGUCCGCUGUGAAGGUCGGGGGCUCAACCCUCGGAUGCCGGUGGAUACUGUCGGGCUUGAGUACGGAAGAGGCGAGUGGAAUUCCUGGUGUAGCGGUGAAAUGCGCAGAUAUCAGGAGGAACACCAAUUGCGAAGGCAGCUCGCUGGGACGUUACUGACGCUGAGGCGCGAAAGCGUGGGGAGCGAACAGG